AAAUUUCUGGAAUAUGCGUUAAGCUCUUAUUUUGAACCUACAUUUAAUUUUAGGGAGUUCAAUAUUUAAAUGAGGAAAUGUACCUUCUUGUGAGUCCUUUUCACGGCAUUGAGGGCGAUUGAGACAUCUGUGAGGACACCCACCUAUCGUGAGAUAGGCUUCAAAAUUAGAGUACCGGUAUUUUGGAUUUUAU
rnacentral:other from 2 species